GAAUUGCAGAAUCCCGUGAACCAUCGAGUCUUUGAACGCAAGUUGCGCCCGACGCCUUCGGGCUGAGGGCACGCCUGCCUGGGCGUCACGCAUCGCGUCGUCCCCUCCCAUUCCCUCACGGGUUUGGUUAUGGGACGGAUAAUGGCUUCCCGUUAGCUCGGUUAGCCCAAAAAGGAUCCCUCAUCGACGGAUGUCACAACCAGUGGUGGUUGAAAGAUCAUUGGUGCUGUUGUGCUUCACCCUGUCGCUUGCUAGGGCAUCGUCAUAAACUAACGGCGUGUAAUGCGCCUUCGACCGCGACCCCAGGUCAGACGGGACUACCCGCUGAGUUUAAGCAUAUCAAUAAGCGGUGGAGAAGAAACUUACAAGGAUUCCCCUAGUAACGGCGAGCGAACCGGGAAUAGCCCAACUUGAGAAUCGGGCGGCCACGCCGUCCGAAUUGUA
rnacentral:rRNA from 1 species